CACGUAGGGCGCGAGCGUUGUCCGGAAUUAUUGGGCGUAAAGAGCUCGUAGGCGGCCUGUUGCGUCCGCUGUGAAAGCCCGGGGCUUAACCCCGGGUCGGCAGUGGAUACGGGCAGGCUAGAGGUAGGUAGGGGAGAAUGGAAUUCCCGGUGUAGCGGUGGAAAUGCGCAGAUAUCGGGAGGAACACCGGUGGCGAAGGCGGUUCUCUGGGCCUUACCUGACGCUGAGGAGCGAAAGCGUGGGGAGCGAACAGG
rnacentral:rRNA from 1 species